AUGAUGGACCAAAGGAAAGGAGCUGAGUGUUUUCCCAGCCCGCUCAUGGGAGUGUCCUGACUGUCACCACUCCUAGGGCGCCUGCUGGCUGUGGACAGACGGGCCAGGGUCGGGGUGGGGUGGGGGGCAGUGUUGAUACCUCUGAGAAUUUGGCAACCUGGGUGGGGCUUCUGAAUAUAUUUCCAAAACCCAUCAAUGUCACACAUAUCUGUGCCUUUUCAUAUUACUUAUGUUAUUUAUGUAUUUAUUUAUUUAUGCCCUAUCUUGUUCCAGAAAAGUGUUUAAGGCUGCCGUGCUUGGUUUUUAACGUUCUCUUUUGACAUCUGAUAAGUUUUAGUCAGCAUGCACUUAUUAAACAGGUAAUUUUAAAGAGAAAGAAUUAGCAAUUUCCUAAUGUUGAAUAUGUUUCUGUUAUCAGGCUUAAGGGCCAUCGUUUUAAGUUUUCUUUUUCCUUCUUCCAUGAAUUGUUUCUUCAAAUAAAAAGUUCAUGCAGAAGUAGGAGGAGGGGAGCAUUCAGCAAACAUAGGACUGAGCAGAGGGAAAUCUGCCUUAGAGAGGAGCGCUCUGUCUGUGCUCUGCUGCCUGCUGCCGCGUGGCUUUGGGCAGGUCCUGUUCAGAGUGCCGGGUGGGCGGCUUCCGGCUGUGCCUUCACCACAGGGCUUUUGUGAGGACACAGGAGAGAAUGUACGUGAAAGCACUUUCUACUUGAGUCAUCCUUGUGACAUGUAAACUGCUGUCGUUGACUGUUGUCCCUCUUCUCAGUGGAUAUGCAUUUGAGGCGAUGACCUUGCUGGAAGAGCCUGUGACCUUGGAGAUCAGGCUUGACCUGGUUGCCCCAUGGGGCAGCAAAAGUCAUAGGGACCCACACCACAGGGCUUGCGCACAAAGGGCUCUGCAGGUCAGAAGUGUAAGACACAUGUUAAAUAAUUUAUGAAGUCAAGUUUGUUCAGCUUAAGGGGUUGUCUUUUAUUCUGAGAUUAUGUCCUUCCUAAUUUGGGUCAUAAGAUGUCUGUUUAGGUAUAAGAAAGGUUAACAGAGGGCAAAUUUUUCCUUUUUAAAAUGUUCUUGGUUGCAAAACAAAAUGUUGGCUACCCUUUUUCAAGCCCCAGAAUUUCUCUUUAAGUUUGCCAGGCUCUGAAAUCCCAAAGAUGGAGACCCACUCUCUAGCUAUGGUGUAUGUUUACGUCGUGAGAAAUUCCUCUUGGAUUCUUAAAACCGCCGGUACGGUGUUGAAGGGAGUCGCAGCUUCUGCUGUCUGGUAGUCUGAGCACAAGCUCUGAGGUCACUGUGCGGUGUUAGGAAGCGCGGGCUUGUGUCCUGGAGAUGACCCAGCAAACAUCCCUGCGGUGACAGGCCUCUGGCCACUCCUGAAUCUGUGAGAGACACUCCCAGCAAGUUUGCGUGCCCUUCUCAGCUGGAUACCUGCAGA